GACGAACGCUGGCGGCGUGCUUAACACAUGCAAGUCGAACGGGUCUGCCCUGUUUUUUGCGGGGUGGGUCAGUGGCGAACGGGUGAGUAACACGUGAGUAACCUGCCCCUCACUUCUGGAUAACCGCUUGAAAGGGUGGCUAAUACGGGGUGUUCUGGCUGUGCCGCAUGGUGUGGCUGGGAAAGAUUCACUUUUGUGGUGUUUUGGUGGGGGAUGGGCUCGCGGCCUAUCAGCUUGUUGGUGGGGUGAUGGCCUGCCAAGGCUUUGACGGGUAACCGGCCUGAGAGGGUGGGCGGUCACACUGGGACUGAGAUACGGCCCAGACUCCUGCGGGAGGCAGCAGUGGGGGGUAUUGCACAAUGGGCGGAAGCCUGAUGCAGCGACGUCGCGUGAGGGAUGGAGGCCUUCGGGUUGUGAACCUCUUUCGCCGGUGAAGAAGGUCCUGCUCUUUGUGGUGGGGUUGACGGUAGCCGGGUUAUGAAGCGCCGGCUAACUACGUG
rnacentral:rRNA from 1 species